rnacentral:rRNA from 1 species
GCCCUUGUGCCAGCAGCCGCGGUAAGUAGAAACCAAUAGCGUAUAUUAAAGUUGUUGUGGUUAAAAAGAAAAGGAAAAAAACCUUGGGUUUGGCUGGCCGGUCCGCCUCACCGCGUGCACUGGUCCGGCCGGGCCUUUCCCUUCACUAGAGGCCCAUACCCUUCACUGGGCGUGGCGGGGAAACGGGACAUUUACUUUGAAAAAAUUAGAGUGCUCCAGGCAGGCCUAUGCUCGAAUACAUUAGCAUGGAAUAAUAAAAUAGGACGCGCGGUUCUAUUUUGUUGGUUUAUAGGACCGCCGUAAUGAUUAAUAGGGACAGUCGGGGGCAUCAGUAUUCAACUGUCAGAGGUGAAAUUCUUGGAUCAGUUGAAGACUAACUACUGCGAAAGCAUUUGCCAAGGAUGUUUUCAUUAAUCAGGAACGAAAAGUUAGGGGAUCGAAGACGAUCAGAUACCCGUCGUAGUCUUAAACCAUAAAACUAUGCCGACUAAGGGAUCGGACGGGGUUAUUCAUGACCCCGUUCGGCAUCUUUACGAGAAAUCAAAGUGCUUGGGGCUCCCAGGGGGGAGUAUGGUCGCAAGGUUGAAACUUAAAAGAAAAUGACGGAAGGGCACCACCAGGGGUGGAGGCCUGCGGGUUUAAUUUGACUUCAACACGGGGAAAAUUCACAGGUCCAGAACACAUAAGGAUUUGACAGAUUAGAACUCUUUCCUUGGUUUUUGUGGGGGGGGGGCAUGGCCGUUCUUAAGUUGGGGGGGGACUUUGUUUUCCUUAAUUUCCAAAACGAAACAAAAACUUUAAUUCUGCUAAAAAGGCCCGCAUUUGCUUCCGGCGGGGGGCUGGUUUCUUAAAAGGAAUUUUCGGGUU